AUCUGGCUGGCUCAGUUGGUAGAGCAUGAGACUCUUAAUCUUAGGGGUGUGAGUUCAAGCCCCACAUUGGGUA
rnacentral:tRNA from 1 species